CUUCAAACUAAGUACUUCAAAUGAAGUAUAGGUAGAUUAAAAUCCCUCCAACUGGCUCACCUGUUACAUUAGCAUUAUGAGAACUGUGUCUUUUGUCCUUAAUUUAUAGAAGGGGGUGGGUAGCACUUUGGAGCAUCAGCAUGGCACAGGACUGCCUGACAUACGACUCACUACCAUUGGUUAUAAUGAAAUCUACUGCAAAUCUCCCUUUGCUUCCAGCAGUGCAAAGGAUUUCACCUACAAGGUUAGCAGGAUUGAAAACACUGCAUCCUUCCUGAAUCUCCUCAUUCCUCUCCAUGCAUCUGAUUUGGAGAUCUUUCAGAUUGAGAUUCUCAGGACUAUGCAUUAUUCACAGAACCACUUUUCAAGACUGGAACUACACUUUGAAGUCAAAUUUGUCAAAACAUGUCAAGAAGUGAUGAAGUACCAAUGGAGUUUGUACAGCACAAACUGAAAUGAUGCUCUGAAAGGAGGUAAAAAAGACAACUAGAAGGCUGACAAAAUUGUGGAAGUUUAGAACAGCCCCAGAAGCAAUGAAAAUGAAUGAUGGAACAACACAGAAGGACCUUCUCUGCACACUGUACUGUCUUUUAGAACUGCUGAUGGAGGAUUAUAGGAAAUGGUUACUGAGAUAAAAGAAGAUGAAAAAGGCAGUAGCACACAGUAAUGUUUUCUGCCUGUACAAAAAGCUAACUAUGGCUGACAACAUGAAUAAAGGGAGUUCUAGUUAACA
rnacentral:lncRNA from 1 species